rnacentral:rRNA from 1 species
UACGGAGGGUGCGAGCGUUGUCCGGAAUCACUGGGCGUAAAGGGCGCGUAGGCGGCGCGGGUAGUCAUCGGUGAAAGUUCAGGGCUCAACUCUGAAUCGGCCGGUGAUACUCCCGGGCUCGAGCACAGUAGAGGCAGGUGGAAUUCCCGGUGUAGCGGUGGAAUGCGUAGAGAUCGGGAAGAACAUCAGUGGCGAAGGCGGCCUGCUGGGCUGUUGCUGACGCUGAGGCGCGACAGCGUGGGGAGCAAACAGG